GUCAUUUCCUGAGCCACAGGGGUUUUAGGAGCAUCUUUCAUUCUAGUGUUUGGUCUUUGACCCCGGUUCCCAACAAACAGCUCCUACUCCCUUGGAAUUUAUUGGGUGAUGGGAGUGUCUUGUUCUAAUGAAGCAACUCUAAUGGGCUCCUGGACGGGGCUGGUCACCAGAAAGACCAGGUUAUGCUGAGAAGCUUGAAACCGUCAGUCCCCCGCCACCCCAUCCUCUGGGAAGGGAAGAGGAGCUGGAGAUCAUGCCCAUGUGAUGAGGCCUCCGUCAAAGUCCUUGCACUCCGGGAUGUGGCUGCCGGACAUGCGGAGGCGCUGGGAGAGCGGCACACCUGGAGAGGGCGUGGAAGCUCCAACACCCCACCUCCACACCGCGUGCUAUGCAUCUCUCCCGUCCAGCUGCUCCUGGGUUUCAGUCUUUCCUAAUGAACAGACGGAGCUUCCCUAUGUUGUCCAGCCUGGUCUUGAACUCCUGGCCUCAAGCAAUCCUCCUGCCUUGGCUUCCUAAAGUGCUGAAAUUACAGCGUAAGGUGUGUCGCUUUCCAGCAGAGGCGCUGACACAGAAAGGAGUGACCUCUCCAACCUUCCAUAAAUCAUCAGAACACUGCAGAGUGACAGUGGGAACUCCAGAGAUUAAACACGGAGGUGAGGCUGGCCAGGGAUCACAAGAGGCCCAACACCCAGACAGUACGGAACCUGGGUGGGCACCUCGUCCGUUUUGUCAUCCACAGACCAGAGCUCACUGCUUUCCAGAUCUCAAGAACAAAGCCCAAACCAUGGAAAUAAACACGCUGUUAUCAGUGUAGAAGGAACACAGCCAGCGGAGACGCCUCCUCCAGUCACACCUGGACCACAGCGGGACCCACAGCAGCACCGCACGGCGCCCUCCAUCACCUCUGAGCUUCUGCACUUCUGAUGACUCCAUCCAGAUCUCCAGCUUGUCCUGUGGACCCAUCCAUGCAGAAGCAGACUCGGCAGGCACAAGGACCAUUUUCCACACCCCUAUGAUUGCACCUCAUCCAAUCAGCAGCACCCACUCCCUAGUCCCCAGCUCCCUCCAGAUUAUCCUUGAAAAACCCUAGCCUCUGAAUUUUGGGGGAGAUUGACUUAAGUAAUAAAAUUCCAGUCUCCCACUUAGCCAGCUCUGUGUGAACUAAACUCUUUCUCUAUUGCAAUUCCCAUCUUGAUGAGUCAACUGAGGUAAAGAGCAACCUGGCUGAAGGUCAACAGCAGGGCUUUUUAAUCAGAUCCAUGCUGCCCCAAAAUAAUGAAACCCUGGAUCAGCUUCUUUUCCAAAUCUUGAGAAUACAGGCUCCUGGGCUGUGAAAUACAAUUUGAAAAUGUUUCUCUUCUAACAAAGAGUGCAAUGUCUUGAGUACUUUAACAUACUGUUUUCUGAAAUCUCACUGUUUGCUGGUAGGUAUCAAUGGCUUUGGUGUGGGGCGUCUGAUAUGUCUAUAUAAAGAAUCUCAUGCUGCCCCAGGAAAAAGCACAUAUAUCCAUAUUUUUGUUUGAUUUUGUAAAGCUUAUUGUACAAGAUCACAUUUUUGUUUUAAUAAAGAACAAAAAUGAAGUUUCAACAUUUGUGAAGAAACAUAGUUUUUGAGAGAAGAUAAU